UACAAUUUUUCUUACUAAAGACAGGCUUAAUUAAAGGCCCAUGGAAUCUAUGGAACCUCGGUAAUGAAAAAGUGAACGAAGGAAAGCCCAUAGAAAUUUAGAAGAAAAAUGAUGUUUGCACUCGUUGUUGGGUACCCUCCGUGUACGCGCGUCCAUGUGUCCUAGUUAAUGAAACGGUGCAUUGCGUUUCAUUAAGCCCUUCCCAGCAUUUUUCUUUUUGUUUUCCCUCUUUCCUCGUUUUGCCUUCCCCCCUUCAUGUACAGAAGACGGAUGAAAUUAGGGCAAGCAUCGUUCGUAGCAGAAGGGAAAAUCGAAGAUAGACGAUGGCUGAGAUGCAGGUGUGACAAAAUCUUCCCCUUCUUAAAAAUAAAAAUAACAUUUGGUUGAAAAAUAAAAAAUUCACCAUAAAUAUGUGUAAAACAACAACAAGAACUGUCUAAGGAAACACAACUACAACAAAAUCAAAUCUCCAUGAAGCAGUGUCAACCUCUUCUUUUUCUAUACACCGAUUUUGUACAGAGACCCAUUCUACCGUUAACUUCAAACUAAAGAUUAUUAACAAUGUUCUUGCAAUCUAGUAAUUUUCGGAAUAUGCAAGAGACCCACUAGAUUGUUCUUGCCCACACAAAAAUCGGUACCUAAACUUUAGUUAAAGAUUUUCGAAAGUUAUGCAAGAGACCCAUUAGAUUGUUCUUGCCCACACGAACCCCACCACCUGAAAUAUAGUUAAAGAUUUUCGGAAGUUAUGCAAGAGACCCACUAGAUUGUUCUUGCCCACAUGAACCCCACCAACUAAACUAUAGUUAAAGAUUUUCGGAAGUUAUGCAAGAAAAUAUAGUUCGAAGUUAAUAAUCUUGCAAAGGAAGAGGAAGAAUAAACAUAGUACCUGAACAAUCUAGUGGCUUUCGGAAUUGACGGCGAGGUACCCAGCGGCGGGUACCUAUAGCAGUAUUGAAUUUAGAAUGGUAUUGUCGAGUCCGUCAGCACAGAAGAGAAGAGAAGAGUAUUGAAUGUCGAUACUGUUGGAGAAGAGCGAGACAUGGAGGUGGCUAGUGAGGAGGACAAAGGAGUCGAAGCCCUUCUUCAUUACGUUCGCCACCAUAUGUGGCGUCGUCCCUGGGAUUAUCAGUUACGCCGUGAUGCAGCUUACCAACUCUCGCAACCCUGAGCUCGAAGCCCGUCUCCGUAACAAUCCCCGCCCAGAAACAAUUGUACGCAUUUUUAAUUUCCUUGUCAAUCUAUACAUCCUCUCUUUCCUUUCUUUUGUUUUCACCUUUGAUUUCAUUAUUUAGUUUUCAUUUAUAAGGACCCAACAUAUCUGAGAGACCAAAUCAGAAACAGAGACCCAAACCGAAAUCCAAAGUAGCCGCAGAAGACGAACAAAUGGGUGACCCUUUAUCUCCAAGAAUAAUUCCAAAUGGACAGAAUAUUUUAUACGCCAUUUUGGUUUAUUGAUUUUCCAUCUUGUACCCUGAGGUACAACUUUUAUGCCUAAGGUUCUACGAUAAUACAACUCAAUUAGUUUUCGACGGAAAGUUAAGAGGAAGGACUUUCUGCAGAUAUUCUUUUUCUGAGUCUAAUGCUCUAGCUUGUACGGUUAGAGAGAAUGAAAAAUUCUUGAUUUUUGCGGUGUUUGUGAAGCGUAUGACAUAUAAUUUUGUUAUUUUGUUCUCAACCCAGCGGUUGAAGUCCUAAAUGAAAAGGGGGUCUGGUGCAA